CGAGACUGUUCCACAUACCAGCCCAGCCUGUUCAAAAUGGCGAACGGUUCCAGGCGGAAGUGACAUAUUGUGUGAAGUUAUAAAGGGACCAUUCUAAUGUCUGAGGGGCUACAGGAUAUUCUUCAAACACCAUGCAAUUCGGAGAGACGGCGUCGCCGGCGAAAGUUAAUGCAGAAUUGAUACAGCAGCCCACUGUCAAAGAAGUGAUGCUUCUGGGAGACUGCGUGGAGUGAAAUGGAGUUAGGCAAAGCAUAGAGAGACACUGGCACAGAUAACAUUACAAGAAAAAGCGGUCGUCUUGUAUGCAGGCCAAACACCCUCCUCCAGAUGGUGACUAUUCCAGCCUCCCCUUGAUGGGAAGUCAGAUGUUUGCAGAGCCCGGCGAGAGGGCAUAAGAGCUGACAAUGCCAGUCACAGGUAACAAAGGUUCACACCUGCGAGUCUAUUUUAAUUGGGAUUACAUAGGAUAUACACCAAUUUGUCCAAUAUUCCCUUGAAAUUGUCACUGGCAAAUAACACUUGGGUGAAGUUUUUCCAACAAGCAAGUUGCUUGGAUCUUUUUUUUUUAGAAGACAUUUUCAUUUGUAAUGUUGGUUUAAAGCCAUCAUACACUAUUUUCAUAGGGGACAUCACAAACCUGCCUU